CAAUAGCGUAUAUUAAAGUUGUUGCAGUUAAAAAGCUCGUAGUUGGACCUUGGACCUGGACAGGCGGUCCGCCUCACGGCGUGUACUGUCUUGCUGGGUCUUUCCUCUUGGUGAUCUGUUGUUUCGGCAGCAGGGAACCAGGACUUCUACUUUGAAAAAAUUAGAGUGUUCAAAGCAGGCUCGACGCCGGAAUAUAUUAGCAUGGAAUAAUAAAAUAGGACGUGCGGUUCUAUUUUGUUGGUUUUUGGAAUCGCCGUAAUGAUUAAUAGGGACAGUCGGGGGCAUUAGUACUCACAUGCUAGAGGUGAAAUUCUUGGAUUUUGUGAAGACUAACUUCUGCGAAAGCAUUUGCCAAGGAUGUUUUCAUUAA
rnacentral:rRNA from 1 species